GAUGUACUCCCUUCGUCCGAAAAUACUUGUCAUCAAAAUGGAUAAAAAAAGAUGUAUCUAGAACUAAAAUACGUCUAGAUACAUUCCCUUUUAUUCAUUUUGAUGACAAGUAUUUUCGGACGGAGGGAAUACAAU
rnacentral:pre_miRNA from 1 species